rnacentral:rRNA from 1 species
UGAGACACGGUCCAGACUCCUACGGAAGGCAGCAGUGGGGAAUUUUGGACAAUGGGGGCAACCUUGAUCCAGCCAUGCCGCGUGAGUGAAGAAGGCCUUCGGGUUGUAAAGCUCUUUCGGCCGGAAAGAAAUCGCAUGGGUUAAUACCCUGUGUGGAUGACGGUACCGGAAUAAGAAGCACCGGCUAACUACGUGCCAGCAGCCGCGGUAAUACGUAGGGUGCAAGCGUUAAUCGGAAUUACUGGGCGUAAAGCGUGCGCAGGCGGUUGUGCAAGACAGAUGUGAAAUCCCCGGGCUUAACCUGGGAACUGCAUUUGUGACUGCACGGCUAGAGUGUGUCAGAGGGGGGUAGAAUUCCACGUGUAGCAGUGAAAUGCGUAGAUAUGUGGAGGAAUACCGAUGGCGAAGGCAGCCCCCUGGGAUAACACUGACGCUCAUGCACGAAAGCGUGGGGAGCAAACAGGAUUAGAUACCCUGGUAGUCCACGCCCUAAACGAUGUCAACUAGUUGUCGGGUCUUAAUUGACUUGGUAACGCAGC